rnacentral:rRNA from 1 species
CCUACGGGAGGCAGCAGUGGGGAAUUUUGGACAAUGGGCGCAAGCCUGAUCCAGCUAUUCCGCGUGUGGGAAGACGGCCUUCGGGUUGUAAACCACUUUUGUAGAGAACGCAAAGUCUAUUGAUAAUACCGAUAGAUGAUGACGGUACUCUAAGAAUAAGCACCGGCUAACUACGUGCCAGCAGCCGCGGUAAUACGUAGGGUGCGAGCGUUAAUCGGAAUUACUGGGCGUAAGGGGUGUGCAGGUGGUUUUGCAAGAUGGAUGUGAAAGCCCCGGGCUUAACCUGGGAAAGCCAUACAUGACUGCAAGACUAGAGUGCGUCAGAGGGGGGUGGAAUUCCAAGUGUAGCAGUGAAAUGCGUAGAUAUUUGGAAGAACACCGAUGGCGAAGGCAGCCCCCUGGGACGCAACUGACGCUCAUACACGAAAGCGUGGGGAGCAAACAGGAUUAGAUACCCUGGUAGUC